rnacentral:rRNA from 1 species
UACGGAGGGGGCUAGCGUUGUUCGGAAUUACUGGGCGUAAAGCGCACGUAGGCGGCUUUGUAAGUUAGAGGUGAAAGCCCGGGGCUCAACUCCGGAAUUGCCUUUAAGACUGCAUCGCUAGAAUUGUGGAGAGGUAAGUGGAAUUCCGAGUGUAGAGGUGAAAUGCGCAGAUAUCAGGAAGAACACCCGUGGCUAAGGCGGCUCUCUAGUACGGUACUGACGCUGAGACGCGAAAGCGUGGGGAGCGAACAGG